GACGGAAAUGCAAGGCUUUCUUCUGGUGAAGGAUUAUACUGACACCCCUCCCUCGGGCGGUGGGUGUGAAAAGGGUUAUGUAAAUCAUUGCUACUUUUAGGAGCUGGCAGUCCCUCAACUUGAGCGAGGACGUAGGGAAAGCGAAUCCGGGAAGGAGGCAAUUCACCUCAAACCUUUCACAGAUUCACGAAAUGAACAUACCAUUGAGAUGUUCUUCUGUAAGAAAGGACAGAUCACUUUGCAGCAAUUCACCCCGUGACGACUUGAAGCAGAUAGUUCUCGCGAGUUUUAGAUCCUUUUUUUCUUUCUUUCUUUUUUUUUUUUCAAAGAUGAAUCUCUGUUGAGAUGGCAAUGUGUGCCUCGCUCUGAAGGAAAACCACAUAAGCCAGGUCUUGAAGGUCUUGAAGGCGGAUGCACGCCCUUUUCUUCUGUGCAAGGCCUGCCUUACCUCCCAGCGGUGCCUCUCUGUCUCCUACCACCCUUUCGGAUCCAGCUCAGACACUGCACUUCCAAAGGCUUCCCUGGUGUCCAGGAAUGUUUGCUUCUCUCUUCUGGCUCGUGGGACCAUGAGCUCCAGGGACCACACGCUCCAGGGACCACGCCUGCGACUCCCGCCGGAGGUGGUCAGUGCAUUUCUCUUCUCUUCCCCCGAGGGCCCAGGUCCCCCUCAUCUCCAAGGGUACCCAUCACAGGGCUCCCUUUUAAACUAUCGGGAAGCACUGAAUGAAUGAACGCACGAAGACCCAUCACCGGCUCCUCCUGCCUUUGCCUACCAUCUUCUUUCUGGAGAAGAGUCAGUUUGUCUGCAUCUGAGAAGAGGUGGGGGAGAGAGCCAGCAAGUCCUCCCCCUUCUGCUCCAGGAUCUAGGAGACAGGGAAUCUCAUCGGGGGAGGGUUAGGGGCCCCCAGCCGGGGUGACUCGGAAUAACAGAGCAGUUUGCUGGUCUGGGCAGAAGGAUGGGGCAGAAAUCCUUACCAACAGGGCCCAGGCACUGGAGGAAUCUGACCGACCUCCAGGCUUUGGGGCUGUGUGUGUGUGUGUGUGUGUGUGUGUGUGUGUGUGUGUGUGUGAUCGGUUUCCAGGUGAGACCAGGAAGGGUCUAUGCAGGCGUAUUCCAGCUUCUGGCUUCCUAGGGCAUAGAGGGGGCUGGAUGAAAGGAGCCAAGAUGCUGGGCAACCUGCAGGGGGCCCCCCAUUCGCCCCAGGACCAUGUUUCUAAGUGGCUAAAGUUCAGGGACAGAGUUGAUUCAACCCCCCUUCAAAUCUCCUACAAGCCCAUACCUACUUCCUUCUCCCCAAUCCAGGGAGGGGGGCCCGGUCCCUAAACAGGUGGAGCCUUAAUGUGAUGCGGCUUCCUUGGUGUUCCCUGGAGUCUUGAAACUGGAUGAACAGGAAGCAUCCUGUUUAAAACGCACAGAAACUAUCUCACAGCCUGUUCAGAAGGAUCCACAGAGGGGAGGGGAGAACCUGCAGUGCCGUGAGGGAGGGCGCAGCCUCGCCCUGGCACCGGACCCACUUCUGAUGCCCAGAGCAGGGCCCACUUGGCUGGGAACCUGUACCGCUGGCCUCCAUCUCUCCUUAGUCAUCUGCACACACCCAGGGCUGUAGGAAGCUCAGCCCAGCCCGGAGGUUGAAUCCGUCUCCAUCUCUUCAUACUGAUGGCAGCCUGGCAUUGUUAUCCUUCACGGAUCAUCUCUUGGAAGGACAUCAGCCUCUUCUUACAUCUCCCAGCCCCCCUGGGGCGCUGCUCAGCUAAUCCAGCAUCUUUGGCUCCUGGAUUCACUUCUGGCCUGGGUGUUCCGAUACCACGUCUGGCACCAGUUGAGUGGGAAGAUGGACAAAAUAACUACGCCUCAUGAGUAGAAAGGAGAAUUAAUUCCCCUGUACAAACUUUUGUGUCUCCUCUUCCUGGGUGACUUCAGAUGUGUUAAUCCAGGACUGUUCGUUUUUUCCUUUUAAGGUCUAAUUUAUAGCAGCACCCUUUUUGCUUUUUAGGGCCACGCCUGCGGCACAUGAAGGUUCCCAGGCCAGGGGUCGAAUCAGAGCUACAGCUGCCGGUCUCCACCACAGCCACAGCAACACCAGAUCCGAGCCGCGUCUGCGACCUACACCACAGCUCACGGCAGCACCGGAUCCUUAACCCACUGAGCAAGGCCAGGGAUCAAACCCAGCACCGUUUUGUUUGGUUUUGUUUUGUUUUUUUUUUCAACUGUAUUUCUCAUUAGAAUGUAGUACAUGUGAACUCUAUAGCAUCAAAGAUAUCUUCCUGUUUCCUAUGAAAAUGAUUUAACUAUAUCAAACCCAGUUUUGCAAAGAGAGGAAUAAAAGAUCACACCUCAUGUAACCGCA
rnacentral:lncRNA from 1 species